rnacentral:misc_RNA from 1 species
GAUGAAGAACGUAGCGAAAUGUGAUAAGUAAUGUGAAUUGCAGAAUUCAGUGAAUCAUCGAAUCUUUGAACGCUCAUUGCGCCCGCCAGUAUUCUGGCGGGCAUGCCUGUUCGAGCGUCAUUACAACCCUCAGGCCCCCGGGCCUGGCGUUGGGGAUCGGCGGAGCCCCCCGUGGGCACACGCCGUCCCCCAAAUACAGUGGCGGUCCCGCCGCAGCUUCCAUCGCGUAGUAGCUAACACCUCGCGACUGGAGAGCGGCGCGGCCACGCCGUAAAACACCCAACUCUUCUGAAGUUGACCUCGAAUCAGGUAGGAAUACCCGCUGAACUUAAGCAUAUCAAUAAGCGGAGGA